AUAACUUUCUCGUCCUUUUGACUAAGAUAAAAUAUAAUAUUUGUUCUUAUCAGUUUAAUAUCUAGUAUGUGGACUAUAUGUUCGCUUUGAUAUUAUUAUUUUUAUGGCUUUUUUUAAGAGAGUCCACCACACUGGUUUAUUGGACCCUCACGUGUGGCUCAGCCGUUGCACCGUUGGUAGGACCUCGCCCACCGCAA
rfam:Zea mays cultivar B73 chromosome 1, whole genome shotgun sequence.